AUGUCAUUUGUUUACUAAUCGAGUUUGCUUUGGUUGUUACUUUUGUUGCUUUCGUUGAGUCUGUUUUAUCGAGUCAAAAUCGUAUCUUUUAUUGAGUCAAAAUGUUGUUUGAGAACUAUGAUCUUUUCUUAGGGAAUUGCACCAUGUUUGAUUUGAUUGCCUUGGGACCAUUUUAGCACUAUUCGAUAACUUGGAAGUUCAGGAAAAUCCAUCACUUGAUCACUUUAUAGUAGUCCCUAUCUCUUUGAAAUUUAGAUGAAUUGAGCUUAAUCUUAUAUACUUGAACUUAAUCUGGACUUAAUUUAUCUCACUUAGGGGCUUGAGAAUCAUGUAAUGGAUCAUACAUUCAGAGUUUUGUUCGCAUCAUUUUUACCACUCUUUGCUAACUCUGAAUGGCUAGACUCACUUUUAGUCUAGUACCGCAUGUGUUUCCCCACCCAUUGUUUGAAACCUCAUGCAUUCUGAUAUGAUCAUCAUGAUAUGCAUCCAUGUGCGAAAACUACGGAGUAUACGGACCGACAUAGCUUUCCUUUUAUUAGGAUAGUGAGUUGUAGUUUACUGGUUGUCGAUAUGUGAUGAGAUUGAGCCAUUGUGGUUUAGAGGUUAUAUUCAUGGGUAUAUGCUGCUGUUUGCGAUUGUUCUUGAUGCAGAUUUUUGUGAGACACCG
rnacentral:lncRNA from 1 species